rnacentral:antisense_RNA from 1 species
CUUGAGGGAGCCGAGCCAGAGGGGCUGUUCCUGGGGGCGGUCCUGUCCGUAGGUGGCCAGGAGGGCCUGGGCCUC